rnacentral:rRNA from 1 species
GAUGAACGCUGGCGGCGUGCUUAAUACAUGCAAGUCGAGCGAAGCACUUUAACGGAAUUCUUCGGAAGGAAGAUAAAGUGACUGAGCGGCGGACGGGUGAGUAACGCGUGGGUAACCUGCCUCAUACAGGGGGAUAACAGUUAGAAAUGACUGCUAAUACCGCAUAAGCGCACAGGACCGCAUGGUCUGGUGUGAAAAACUCCGGUGGUAUGAGAUGGAUCCGCGUUGGAUUAGCUAGUUGGUGGGGUAACGGCCUACCAAGGCGACGAUCCAUAGCCGGCCUGAGAGGGUGGACGGCCACAUUGGGACUGAGACACGGCCCAGACUCCUACGGGAGGCAGCAGUAGGGAAUAUUGCACAAUGGGGGAAACCCUGAUGCAGCGACGCCGCGUGAAGGAAGAAGUAUCUCGGUAUGUAAACUUCUAUCAGCAGGGAAGACAAUGACGGUACCUGACUAAGAAGCCCCGGCUAACUACGUGCCAGCAGCCGCGGUAAUACGUAGGGGGCAAGCGUUAUCCGGAUUUACUGGGUGUAAAGGGAGCGUAGACGGACGGGCAAGUCUGAAGUGAAAGGCAGGGGCUCAACUCCUGGACUGCUUUGGAAACUGUCCAUCUAGAGUGCCGGAGAGGUAAGCGGAAUUCCUAGUGUAGCGGUGAAAUGCGUAGAUAUUAGGAGGAACACCAGUGGCGAAGGCGG